UUGUUUGAUCUAUUUGUGGUCAAAACACCCCACUUUCUCUCUCAUCUCUUCUGAUCCCUUCGCACAAUAAAAGGGAGAAGUCGACGACGACGACGACUCAGGAGACCCAACGGAAACGGCAACAAAACUAAAAGAAAAAGAAAAUUCGUGAUCCAAUCAUCUAGCAGCCAAUGCGUACAAAGAUACAUUGGAUUUACUGGCUCCUCAAACAUCCAGUCAUUAGGGCCAAUCUGCCAUCUGAAGAGUUUUAGAAUUUCGUCUCCUGUAUUUAGCUUUAUGGAUAUGAAAGGAGAAUAUUUAUUUGUGUGCCCCUACGUGGCAGCAGUUAUCUUCUUCAGUCAACCCUUGUGAGUUCCGAAUUUCUAUUGUUGGUAGAUGUAUGUGUGUUGCAUUUUUAAUGUUUCUGGUCUCAUAAUAUACUGGAUGCACUUUGCGAUUUUUGGAGUGUUUAUAGUAAAGUUGGAGAAAGAUUUUCAUUUUCAAGCCUAUGUCAUUUUCUACAUGCAAUUUUCCUUCAAAGAUUCCCUUUUGUAGAUAUGUAAGUCAGUAUGGUUUUGCAAAUGUUGUGUUCCCUUACACGUUGCAAUAGGUUGAAACGCAUGCAAAGACAUUUCUACAGACGUUAGCUUUCUUUCUAAUUCCUUUUCAAGAAGUAUGGUUCUCAUGCAUUUUUCCUGUUCGAGGAAAACCUGUAUUUAUUAUUUGCUAAUGCAUGAGCUUAUUAUUUUAUUGAGCCAGUAGGCUCUUUUGUUGUCUUCUAAUCCACUGUCACCCAUAUGAUCCAGUAUUAGUUUUAAUGCUUCUUUCUGGAAAUCCUUUGUUGACCUCAGUGACGUGGUUAGGCUGCUUUAGCUCAGUAGAAAGUUGAUGGCUCUUGAUUAUUAGGGGUAGCUUUCAUAGUACGAGUAAUUGGGAGGGAUUUGCAACUUAUUAAUCUUAUGGAAAAUGAGGACUAACUUUCAAAAACCAGGCUCACGCAUAUUUCAUUGUAAAGUCAUCUGUUCAUGUCUGCCUCUCAUUAUAUUAUUGUCUUUUGAGAUAUGAAGCGCAUUCUAAACUUCAAGGUGGAAUUAUUUGUUUUCUGUUAUUAAAUUGAGGUCAGCUGUUGUUAAUCAUGAUGUAUCUCUGGUGAAUGAAAGCACACAUUGUCUUUGUAUUGCAAGUUUAUUUUAAUGCUAUCAGAAUUGCUUGCUUCAUAAUGGUUCUUCUUCUGCACUGCCUUUGCUUUGUCAAAGAUGAAGUGUCAAGUUCUGGAAUAUUGUCAUAACAACCAGGGUAGUAUGAAAUAUUUUUAUCAUUAGGUUCUCAAUGAACUCUCAGUAGUUGUACCUGUCCAUCUUCAAUAGAGGUGAAGUAUUUACAGUAUGGGAGAGUAUCACGUACAGCAUAAUUCUCUCACACCCUCACUUGUUUGAGGGUAUUAAUUGCAUUUGUUGGAAAUGCUUCUCGUUGGCAUAUUUCUCAUCUGAAAAAUGGCUGGAGAAUUUCACUUGUAAAUUGUAUGAUUAUCUUCUUGGUAUUUUUUCAUGGUAUCCAGUCAAAAUGCAACUGUUGUUGAUUAUAAACAAAGACAAAUUUGUUAAACUCAGUCAUACUUUUGGUAUGGUCAUGUAUCUUCAACUAUAUCCUCUUGAUCUCUUUGUUUAACUGUCCUUGAUCUCUAUGUGUGACGUCUUUUGUGGCCAUUGUCAAUUCAGUGUAUUGUUAGCAGUAGCAAUUGAUUUAGCUGUCGUAUUGAACACACAUUUGUGCAAA